GUGGCAUUGAAAGUGGCUCGGUGAGGGCUUUCAUGGGAGGCGGAACGUGACAAUGUAGCUCAGGUUCGAACCCUGUGGUUGCUCAUAUGAUGGCCACUGGAGGCUUACAUGGUCGUUAACUUCAGGAUCCGUGAGAUUAGUCGAGGUACGCGCAAGCUAGCCCGGACACCCACAUUAAACUACAAAAAAAAACAAUGUAUUAUUGAUUCAUUUACGGAUAUUAAUUAAAUUAUAAUAAAUAUAGAAUCGAUCA